rnacentral:rRNA from 1 species
UACGGGGGGGGCAAGCGUUGUUCGGAGUUACUGGGCGUAAAGGGCUCGUAGGUGGCCAACUAAGUCAGACGUGAAAUCCCUCAGCUUAACUGGGGAACUGCGUCUGAUACUGGAUGGCUUGAGAUUGGGAGAGGGAUGCGGAAUUCCAGGUGUAGCGGUGAAAUGCGUAGAUAUCUGGAGGAACACCGGUGGCGAAGGCGGCAUCCUGGACCAACACUGACACUGAGGAGCGAAAGCCAGGGGAGCAAACGGG